rnacentral:misc_RNA from 1 species
AAUGGGAGCCCUGGGAUUUGCCUGAUUUAUCGAUCAUAAAGACAAAUGAUCAAGAAUGGUUCUUUUUCUGUCCGCUUGACCGCAAGUAUCCGAAUGGGCACAGAUUGAACAGGGCUACAGAGAAAGGCUACUGGAAGGCAACUGGAAAGGAUCGCAAAAUCAAGUCUGGGAACAACUUGAUUGGAAUGAAGAAAACUCUCGUCUUCUACACUGGACGAGCUCCUCGUGGUACCAGAACCCAUUGGGUCAUCCAUGAGUAUCGUGCAACAGAGGAAGACCUUGAUGGCACUAAACCUGGACAGAGCCCAUUUGUCAUUUGUCGUUUAUUUAAGAAACAAGAUGACAGCGUUGAAGGUUUGAAUUCGGAAGAACCAGAAGCUACUCUUUCUUCUCCUACUGCAGCGCAAUCCUCUCCGGAAGUUGCAGAAUCCGAGCUAGCAUUGCCACAAGCAUCUCCAGUAAAUGGAUCACCCUUCAACAUUCUGCCUUCUAAUGAGUGCUUUAACGCCUGUCAAUCGGGAGAUCAAACAGUAGAUGCAGCCACGCUUGAGGAGGAUACACAGCUGGAAGAAGACUUGAAUUGGUUUGUCCAACCACCUGAGCCUCUAGAUGACAAACUUUUUUCUCCGCUGCAUGCACAAGUACAAGCAGAAGUGGGUUGUUCGUAUUACUCCAUCGCUAAUGACUGGAGCAGCUGUAACAGUGGGGUGCAAUCUCAUAAUGGCACUAAUGAAAUAGAUGCUGCCUAUGUAACUAAUUUCCUGAAUGACAUCCUUCAGCAGCCAUCUGAGUAUGGUUGUGAGGAGUCUGACAGCAUUAAGAAUAUUGCCUUAGAUGAGUGUCCUGAAUCUUAUACUGGAUUAGUGACCAGAACUUUGGUAAGUAGAUUUCACCAAACUAAUUCCUGCAUGUUUUAUGGUGUUCCAAAUUUUGCCUCUCAUUUUGUACUUGAGUUUACUGCAUACUGCAUAUCUGAAAAAAAUUGGUUACCUAUUGAUUUACCUUGUAUAUUCCACUGCAACAGCUUGAAGAGGAGUUGCAAGGUCCUGUGUGGCCUGAGGAGGAUAUUGACAUAAAGCCACCUUUACAUGUGGAAACAAUCCCAGAAGAUAGCAGAUCUCUAAUUUUUAAUCAUAACAUUGUUGAACAGCAUUCAUUGCAUAAUGAAUUAUAUGGAAGCCAAAGUUUUGCAUCAAGUUCUGCUGCAGAUCAAUUAACAAGUUUCAAAAAAAUAAGGAGCCAUACUAAUCAAAUUGGCAGCAGUGAGAGUGUUGGAACUGGAAUCAGGAUUAGGGCUCGGAAUUCACAAAAUUUACCAAAUGCUGGGAGCACUGCCAUGCAGGGUCUUGCAUCAAGAAGAAUACGUCUGCAAUGUAAAUUACAAGUUCAGCCACUUCAUUUUGGUGGAAAGCUAGAAGAAUGUAAAUUGGAACAUGAUGUGCUAGAGGAGUUGAAAACAAGGGAAAAGGAUACUGCUGUCGGCGAUGGUGGUUGUAGUACCAAGGAUGAACAUGAACUGCAGACACUUUCCCCUUCUGAAAGCAAUAAAAUCUCUGAGGAGCUGAUGCCUAACGUUGGACCCAAUAAAAGGCUGAGGAGCCAUGCUUCAUUGCUCAAAAAGCUUCAAUCCAUGUUCUCGAAGGCUUCUUCCACCGGUCCUCCUAUUUGGUCUAUUGCUCUAUUUGGAGUAGUUUUCAUAGUAAUUUUGCUACUGAUCUUAGUGAGCAAGUGGCAUUGCCUUAUUUUUGAGACUGCUUAGGGACCUUGUAUCUUCAUGUAGUUUCAUUCCCCCCUCAUUUUUUUUUUCUUUUUAUCUUUAUUUUUUUUGGGGGUGGGGAAGUUGUGAUUAGCAAUUGGGCGUAUGAAAUAGAUUUGCUAGGUUUUCUAUUCUUGUAUAUCUAAAUUUGUUAGUUAAAUAUAUGUUCUAACUGAGUCUUCCCGUUUAUCCCCAACAACUUACUGUGUUGAGCUUGUGCAUUUCUUGCUUGUGGGAGCUUAGUUUCAUAGUAAUGCUCAGAAUCUGGAUUUUCUGAUCUGACAUACAAAACUACUGGACCUAAAAAGUAGCGAGUUUCAGUCAAGUUGAAUAAUUGGAUUUUUAAAGAUUACUAGUGGACGACUUGCCUGUUUUUUAUUGUUGUUUUUUAUCUAGAGUUGUGAGGCCUUUAGUCUCAAUCCCAG